rnacentral:lncRNA from 1 species
GGAAGACACGACUAUAGGCAUCACAGGAAGGGUGACCUCCAGACUGAAGAACGAGGGUAAGAGAGUUAGGAGAGGGGGUGGUGAUAUACUCACGCACCCGGGGAGGCGACUGCUUCUGCAAAAUCAGAACGUGCCUGGAGUGCAGGGAGGGAGGCGCUCGAAGGAGGUCGGAGACAUGGCUGACAUGGGUUCCACAUAGGUAAUGCAAUGCAUAUGAUCAUUUUACCUUCCAAGAGUGCUGAGAAAUGUUCAACUGUCU